UUAGUUCUUCAUGUGCCCAUCU
rnacentral:siRNA from 1 species